GACGAACGCUGGCGGCGUGCUUAACACAUGCAAGUCGAACGAAAAGAGGGAAAGAGCUUGCUCUUUCCGGAAUUGAGUGGCAAACGGGUGAGUAGCACGUAAACAACCUGCCUUCAGGAUGGGGACAACAGACGGAAACGACUGCUAAUACCGAAUAAGUUCCAAGAGCCGCAUGGCCCAUGGAAGAAAAGGUGGCCUCUACCUGUAAGCUAUCGCCUGAAGAGGGGUUUGCGUCUGAUUAGCUGGUUGGAGGGGUAACGGCCCACCAAGGCGACGAUCAGUAGCCGGUCUGAGAGGAUGAACGGCCACACUGGAACUGAGACACGGUCCAGACUCCUACGGGAGGCAGCAGUGGGGAAUCUUCCGCAAUGGGCGAAAGCCUGACGGAGCAACGCCGCGUGAGUGAUGACGGCCUUCGGGUUGUAAAACUCUGUGAUCCGGGACGAAAAGGCAGAGUGCGAAGAACAAACUGCAUUGACGGUACCGGAAAAGCAAGCCACGGCUAACUACGUG
rnacentral:rRNA from 1 species